rnacentral:lncRNA from 1 species
AAGGCACUGGUGUUGAACUUGCAACUUUUUUCCAUCACUGAUUGCUUCAAUGUCAAAAUAGGAAUAAUAUUUAAAUCAAACAGAAGAAAUUGAUUAAAGAAUAUAACAAAACAAUGAAGCAAAAGUGCAAAACAAGACCCAAAUUUUGUGAUUGUCGGCUUGUCAUCAUCAAACAAAAGCUAAACUAAUAGCAAAAUAGAACACAAAUGGCGACAGGGAAUGAAAAUCCAGUAAAUUUAUACAAUUGGUGAUUGCUUCGUCUACGUCCAUGAAUCCCAAUUCAUCACUUCGUGUGCGUGAUAUUCUGCCGCCAGCCGUGACCGUGAAUGAGUUUAGGAGCUGCUGAGAAUUCAAGCCUUUGAUGAUGAUUGAUAACGAUUUGAUGAUGAAGAUGAUUGAUGACGAUUUGAUGAUGAUGAUUUAAAUUGGUGAGUUUGGGAGAUGAAAAGGAGAGGAAAUGGUGGUGGUUGUGAAUUAAUGAAUUUUUGGGAGAUGAAAAAGAGAUGAAAUCGUGGCGGAUUUGAUGGUGAUGAUUUAAAUUGGUGAGUUGGGGAGAUGAAAAGGAGAGGAAAUGGUGGUGGCUGUGAAUUGAUGAAUUUGGGAGAUGAAAAAGAAAUGAAAUGGUGGCGGCCAUGUUGAGUUAAAAGCCAAAAGUGCA